GCUGGUAACGAUGUCGACCGGCGAUCCGCUAUCGUUACUGAAUGGCUUAGCGGGCAGCCUCGGGGAAAACAGAGUGUUUGGAUUCCUGGGGGAGUACGGACUGCAAAGCUGAAACUUAAAGGAAUUGACGGAAGGGCACCACCAGGAGUGGAGCCUGCGGCUUAAUUUGACUCAACACGGGAAAUCUCACCAGGCCCAGACACCGGAAGGAUUGACAGAUUGAGAGCUCUUUCUUGAUUCGGUGGGUGGUGGUGCAUGGCCGUUCUUAGUUGGUGGAGCGAUUUGUCUGGUUAAUUCCGAUAACGAACGAGACUCUGGCCUACUAAAUAGACGUUAGAUCCCCUUGUGGGUCUAUCGCAGCUUCUUAGAGGGGCGGGCGGCGUUCAGCCGCACGAGAUUGAGCAAUAACAGGUCUGUGAUGCCCUUAGAUGUUCUGGGCUGCACGCGCGCUACACUGAAGUGAUCAGCGUGCAAUUUACGUUUGGUGAUCUGUCAAGAUUGCCCAACCCGUUGAACCUUCUUCGUGAUUGGGAUAGGGGAUUGUAAUUAUUCCCCUUGAACGAGGAAUUCCCAGUAAGCGCAAGUCAUAAGCUUGCGUUGAUUACGUCCCUGCCCUUUGUACACACCGCCCGUCGCUACUACUGAUUGAAUGAAUUAGUGAGGUCUUCGGACUGGCCUGUGCUGGCUGUUUCGGCAGCUGCACAUGGCUCGGGAAGAUGCCCAAACUUGUUCAUUUAGAAGAAGUAAAAGUCGUAACAAGGUUUUCGUAGUGAACCUGCGGAAGGAUC
rnacentral:rRNA from 1 species